rnacentral:lncRNA from 1 species
CUCUCUGCCAGUGGGAUGGAUACUGAUUUGAUUUAGGCCCUUUUCUCCCUAUCCAGGACUGGAGCCCUGAGCUACUUGGAACUGGACCUGCAGACUAAGCCUUUGAGCGGUGAUCUGCAGUGGAGAUGUCAUCAGCUGUACCUGGUUUCCUGUUCAAGAACAACCCAGCUGCUGUUUGGCUCAGAUGUUCAAUGCUUUACCAAAGAGCCCAGGGAAGCAGAGGCCAGCUCACUCUGAGAUAACCAACCCAGGCACUUGCACAAUCUGCUGUGACCUGCUGGGAUACAGGGCCACGUGCAGAUCCCAUUUCCAGUUGAGAAAUGCAGUUACUGGGGGCAUGAAGCUCAUUGGCCUGUCUCAUGUCCUUUGA